rnacentral:lncRNA from 1 species
UUAUCACAGAGAAUUUACCAAAUUUCAUGGUCACAUCUAAGAUUAAAGCAAAGGAAGAAAGGUAUCUGAGGAACAUAAUCCUCCUGUUAAUCUUCCUGUCAGUCCUGGCUUUCUCAGUCAUCUAUACGUUCAUAAAUGAGUAGUGAGGUGGUUUGGGAAGAAAAGUACUUAUUGAUCAUGUUUGACCACUAUUUAUUAUCUGCUUUUUCUUAUCAGUACUCUACAAGACAAAUAUUUUAUUUCUUAUUGUGCAGGUGAGAUACUGAGGACCCCAAAGGCCAAACAAUCUAGAGUCAAAUGUAUAGCUAGUGACUGAGCCAAAAUUAUAAUUCGUAUCAGGAUGAGAUAAACAGAAGGACCUGAUACUCAUCCCCUUCACAUGGCUUAUUGCAUGUUCCUAAGUAAAGACUGCUUUGAGUAGAAAUCAGGCUGAAAGUCAAGUAAAUGUAAACACUAAGGUGUUGUUAGUCCUUUAAGCUGUAUAAAGGGAUAGCAUUCUGUUUCAUUGAAGGGAAAAAAAUGGACAGGUUUAGGCUGGAGCCAAUUUUAUCAAGUUUUUAUCUUACAUAUCAAAUGAUUAGGAUGACAAGGAUAACGUUAACAUUUGUUAGGCACCUGGCUAGGUGUCCUACUAGAUACUAGGGGAAACUCACACUCCAACAAUGUAGACAUAAGGGAAUGACAGGCCACAAAGUGGUUAUGAGACCCAUAAACACAUAUAAAGUGUGGGAGAUCUGCUCAUCUGCCUCUGAUAAGUUACAGAGAAGUUAAUGCCUGAGCUACAUCUGAAAAAAAAAUUAUCUCCCUGAAUUAGAUAAGGGAUUGGAUGUAUCUGCAAAGAAUGACAGUUUUGAGGUAUCUGGAGGGUCAAGGCUAAUUGACAAGACAACAGCUUAAGCUGGGAAGGAACCAGGUCUUGAAAGGAAACAAGGGCUUAAUGAUAAAAUUUUAAAAAAUAGUUUUAAUAUGUGUUGGAACCCAUUAAGACAAUUGCUGGAGGGAGUGGGGGUCCACUGGUAAUAGAUCAGUUUGGAGACUCUUAGGUCAAGAUAUGUGAGAAAUAAGAUGGAGGACUGAUGUGAAUAGGAAAUAAGAUUAUUAAAACUUGGUCAACUAGGGGCUGGGGAUGUGGCUCAAGUGGUAGCACGUUUGCCUAGCAUGCGUGCAGCCUGGGUUCGAUCCUCAGCACCACAUACAAACAAAGAUGUUGUGUCCGCCAAAAAAAC